rnacentral:piRNA from 1 species
UGAGAAUGAUGCAGGCUC